rnacentral:rRNA from 1 species
UUAGAUACCCGGGUAGUCCCAGCUGUAAACUAUGCAAACUCAGUGAUGCAUUGGCUUGUGGCCAAUGCAGUAUUGCAGGGAAGCCGUUAAGUUUGCCGCCUGGGAAGUACGUACGCAAGUAUGAAACUUAAAGGAAUUGGCGGGGGAGCACCACAAGGGGUGAAGCCUGCGGUUCAAUUGGAGUCAACGCCAGAAAUCUUACCCGGAGAGACAGCAGAAUGAAGGUCAAGCUGAAGACUUUACCAGACAAGCUGAGAGGUGGUGCAUGGCCGUCGCCAGCUCGUGCCGUGAGAUGUCCUGUUAAGUCAGGUAACGAGCGAGAUCCCUGCCUCUAGUUGCCACCAUUACUCUCAGGAGUAGUAGGGCGAAUUAGCGGGACCGCCACAGUUAAUGUGGAGGAAGGAAGGGGCCACGGCAGGUCAGUAUGCCCCGAAACUCUGGGGCCACACGCGGGCUGCAAUGGUAAUGACAAUUGGUUCCAAAUCCGAAAGGAGGAGGUAAUCCCCAAACAUUACCACAGUUAUGACUGAGGGCUGUAACUCGCCCUCACGAAUAUGGAAUCCCUAGUAACUGCGUGUCAUUAUCGCGCGGUGAAUACGUCCCUGCUCCUUGCUCACACCGCCCGU